UACGGAGGGUGCAAGCGUUAAUCGGAAUUACUGGGCGUAAAGCGCACGCAGGUGGCUGAGUCAGUCGAUUGUGAAAGCCCUGGGCUUAACCUGGGAAUUGCAGUCGAUACUACUCAGCUAGAGUAUGGGAGAGGGUAGUGGAAUUCCCGGUGUAGCGGUGAAAUGCGUAGAGAUCGGAAGGAACACCAGUGGCGAAGGCAGCACUCUGGGACGGUACUGACGCUGAGACGCGAAAGCGUGGGGAGCAAACAGG
rnacentral:rRNA from 1 species